rnacentral:tRNA from 1 species
GCCUGGGUGGCUCAGUCAGUUAAGCAUCUGACUUCAGCUCAGGUCAUGAUCUUGCAGUUUGUGAGUUCGAGCCCCACGUCGGGCU